GGAACCUUUGGGAGCAGGCUGUGGGUAGCCCGUUGCAAGAUCUGGCCUCCCUCAGAGGUUUGGUGCCAGGCGUGGCAUGCUGCCAUUGGCCUGCUUCCGAGGGAGUGCCAUCCACUCCUCGGCCUGCUGUGGUCCACACCGAGGACGGAAGGGCAGCGGGGAGGUGAAAUCGGAGGCUUGAGGCUGGCCUGGGGAUGUGCUCCCCGAACCAAGAAAGAAGGACAAGAAAAAAAGAAAGAUCAGAGGCCACCAGCCCCAAGGGGCCUUGACCAGCCAUGAACACCAUUCCCCGGUUCCAGGCGGUCCAGCUCCUCAGAUGUCCCUGCAGGUGGCGAUUUCACCUCUUACGUGUGAG
rnacentral:lncRNA from 1 species